rnacentral:tRNA from 1 species
GGAGAGAUGGCUGAGCGGUCGAAAGCGACGGUCUUGAAAACCGUUGGCGGGAUCCCCGCCCGUGGGUUCGAAUCCCACUCUCUCCGCCA